GACGAACGCUGGCGGCGUGCCUAAUACAUGCAAGUCGAGCGAAGUUUUUCUGGUGCUUGCACUAGAAAAACUUCGCGUCGCACGCGUGAGUAACACGUAAAGAACCUGCCUCUUAGACUGGGACAACUACUGGAAACGUUAGCUAAUAACGGAAUACAGUAUUUCUCGCAUGAGAGAUAUUUAAAAGUUGGUUAUGCUAACACUAUGAGAUGGCUUUGCGGUGCAUUAGCUAGUUGGUGGGGUAAAGGCCCACCAAGGCGACGAUGCAUAGCCGACCUGAGAGGGUGAUCGGCCACACUGGGACUGAGACACGGCCCAGACUCCUACGGGAGGCAGCAGUAGGGAAUCUUCCGCAAUGGGCGAAAGCCUGACGGAGCAACGCCGCGUGAGUGAAGAAGGAUUUCGGUUCGUAAAGCUCUGUUGUUAGGGAAGAAUGGAUAUGUAGUAACUAUACAUGUAAGAGACGGUACCUAACCAGAAAGCCACGGCUAACUACGUG
rnacentral:rRNA from 1 species